rnacentral:rRNA from 1 species
GUGUCAGCCGCCGCGGUAAUACGGAGGGUGCAAGCGUUAUCCGGAUUCACUGGGUUUAAAGGGUGCGUAGGCGGGCAGGUAAGUCAGAGGUGAAAUCUCCGGGCUUAACCCGGAAACUGCCUUUGAUACUAUCGGUCUUGAAUAUGGUGGAGGUAAGCGGAAUAUGUCAUGUAGCGGUGAAAUGCUUAGAGAUGACAUAGAACACCCAUUGCGAAGGCAGCUUACUACGCCUAUAUUGACGCUGAGGCACGAAAGCGUGGGGAUCAAACAGGAUUAGAAACCCCGGUAGUCC